GAUAGGUCUCGUCCCGAAGUACACAUGCAUGGGACCUUCUGGACCUCUAAAGGUCCUAAUACAAGACUAUAAUCGUGGGGUAACAAGGCAUUUCUUCAUCAAAUCACUAAAUGGGUUCUAUAAACCCUAAUUUCAUAAAUACAUCAAAAUAACAGAUUUGGUCCGAGUAUUACCUGAAAACGCACUCUCUGUGUCCCCCAAAUCUCAGGACUCAAUCCUCCUUGAUAUUCCUUUAGCCAAAUCCCUCUUCUUCUUGCCUAACCAAUUCUUCCAAGUUCCAAAGCUUUCUCCCUUGCUCUAGGCGUCCACAGCGAUUAGGGUUCCUCUCAAUUGACCAAAAGACUGAAAAUGACGGCCUAAGAGGCGUUAAAUACGAUCCAAACUGAACGGUUAGGGUUUCUGCUGAACAGCGUCGACUCGCCGAGUCCAUAUCUGGACUCGUCGAGUCCAGUCGCGGACCCGCGACCAAGUCCGCGAUCCUACUCGGCGAGUCUAGGCUCCAACUCGCCGAGUCCCCUCUUAAAUCACCCCAAAAACAUAAUUUUAAUAAUACCUGAGAUUCCGGGCUGUUACAAUUCUCCCCCACUUGGAUUAGACUUCGCCCUCGAAGUCUCAUUCUGCAAAUAGUUCCGGAUGCUGCUCCCGCAUUUCGCGCUCCGGUUCCCAAGUCAUUUCUGAUCCCUUACGGUGUUGCCAUUGAACCAACACCAGAGGUACUUCCUUGUUCCUCAGAACCUUGAUCUUCCGAUCCCUGAUAGCCACUGGUCUCUCCGCGUAAUUCAGGCUCGCAUCCACCUGAAUAUCCUCCAAUGGAACCACUGCCGACUCAUCGGCUAUGCACUUCCUCAACUGCGACACAUGAAAAGUGUCAUGGAUCUGACCCAACUCCGCUGGCAACUCCAACCGGUAGGCUACCCGACCUAUCCUUGCAAUCACACGAAAUGGCCCAAUAUACCGGGGCCCCAACUUGCCUCUCUUCCUGAACCGAAUCACUCCUUUCCAAGGAGAGACCUUCAGGAGAACGAAGUCGCCGACUUGAAAUUCAAGCUCGGAUCGGCGCCUGUCUGCAUAACUCUUCUGUCGGCUCUGGGCAGUCAAUAAUCUUUGUCUCACUUGUUGAAUCUGCUCUGUCGUCUGGAGUAUGAUCUCCGUGCUGCCCAUCACUCUCUGUCCCACCUCUCCCCAGCAAAUGGGAGUCCGACACCUCCUACCAUACAACAGCUCGAAAGGCGGCAUACCAAUGCUCGAAUGAUGGCUGUUGUUGUAGGAAAACUCUGCCAAUGGUAAAUACGCAUCCCAACUACCCCCGAAGUCUAACACACACGCUCGGAGCAUGUCCUCCAGUGUCUGAAUUGUCCGCUCGCUCUGACCGUCUGUCUGGGGAUGGUAUGCGGUACUAAAAUGCAAUUUAGUACCCAGCUCCUCAUGGAAUUUCUUCCAGAAUCUGGAAGUAAAGCGCACAUCACGGUCUGACACAAUCGAGAUCGGCACCCCGUGCCGAGAUACCACCUCUCUCACGUAUAUCUCCGCCAAUUUCUCCGCCGAAGAACUCUCACUGAUGGCAAGGAAGUGUGCACUCUUUGUCAACCUAUCCACGAUCACCCAAAUUGCGUCAACUCCCCUAGCAGUCCUCGGCAAUUUGGUGAUAAAAUCCAUAGUAAUCUGUUCCCACUUCCACUCGGGGAUCUCCAAUGGCUGUAACUUGCCAUGCGGUCUCUGGUGCUCAGCCUUAACCCUACGGCAGGUCAAGCACCUCUCAACGAACCAUGCCACGUCCCUCUUCAUACAGGGCCACCAAUAUUCCUUCUUUAAAUCCAAAUACAUCUUUGUAGCACCAGGAUGGAUCGAGAAUUUCGAUCUAUGAGCCUCUUCCAUCAAAGUAGUACGCGUACCGCCCACAAACGGUACCCAAAUCCGGCCCUGAAACGUCAUAAGGCCUCGACCUUCCUUGACCAACUCUGAGAUUAACCUCACAACCCGCUCUUUCUUCUACAUUUCUGGUCGCACAGCCUCCGCCUGGGCCCUACGAAUAGCGUCCAAUACUGGAGUCAUCACAGUCAGUCUCAAGCAUACGUCUCGCAAUGGAGUGCUCUCCGCCCUGCGGCUCAAUGCAUCGGCUACCACAUUAGCCUUGCCUGGGUGGUACAGGAUCUCACAAUCAUAAUCCUUGACCACAUCCAACCACCUCCUCUGACGCAUAUUUAGGUUGGGUUGAUCCAUCAAAUACUUCAAACUCUUAUGGUCCGUGUAUAUCGUACAUCGAACCCCAUACAAGUAGUGACGCCAAAUCUUGAGAGCGAACACUACUGCCCCCAACUCUAAAUCAUGCGUGGGAUAUCUCGCCUCAUGAGGCUUCAGCUGCCUCGACGCAUAAGCUAUCACAUGACCCCUCUGCAUUAACACUGCACCCAAUCCCGAAAUCGAUGCGUCGCAAUAUACCACGAAAUCUUCCAUCCCUUCUGGAAGAGCUAAUACCGGGGCUUCGCACAAUCUUUGGCGAAGUGUCUCAAAGGAGGUCUGCUGCUCGGGCCCCCAUGAGAACGUAACACCCUUCCGGGUCAAUCUGGUGAGUGGCACUGCGAUCUUGGAGAAAUCCUUGAUAAAUCUCCGAUAAUACCCUGCCAACCCAAGGAAACUUCUGAUCUCAGAGGGUGACUUCGGCACCUCCCAACUCAUCACCGCCUCAACCUUGGCCGGAUCGACCAAUAUCCCUUUCUGAUUAACCACAUGUCCUAGAAACUGGACCUCCCGCAACCAGAAGUCACAUUUGGAGAACUUUGCAUAAAGUUUCUCCGACCUCAAUACCUCAAGGACCUCCCUCAAAUGCUCCUCAUGCUGCUCUCUCGAUCUCGAAUACACCAGAAUGUCGUCGAUAAAUACGAUCACCGACCGAUCCAACAUCGGCCUGCAUACCCUGUUCAUGAGAUCCAUGAACACAGCCGGGGCAUUGGUGAGUCCAAAAGGCAUCACCACAAACUCAUAAUGCCCAUAUCGCGUCCUAAACGCUGUCUUCUGGACGUCUUCAUCCCGUACUCUCACCUGAUGGUAUCCUGACCUCAGAUCGAUCUUGGAAAACCAAGAUGCUCCCUGCAACUGAUCGAAUAAAUCAUCGAUCCUCGGCAACGGGUAACGGUUCUUGACCGUUAGCUUGUUCAACUCCCGGUAAUCAAUGCACAUCCGGUGUGAACCAUCCUUCUUUUUGACGAACAGAAUAGGUGCUCCCCAUGGCGAGCUGCUCGGCCGAAUGAAUCCCUUUCCCAGCAACUCCUGGAGUUGCGAGGACAACUCUUGCAUCUCUGGAGGUGCAAGACGAUAGGGCACUUUGGCAAUAGGCGCUGCCCCCGGAACCAGAUCGAUACUAAACUCUACUUGCCUCACAGGCGGUACUCCCGGCAACUCCUCGGGAAAGACAUCUGAAAACUCGCGCACCACCGGAACUUCCUCAACUGACUUCGGUUUCUCAGAAACCUCCCGCGUAUCCAUCACAUACGCCACGAAACCCUUACAGCCCUGACGUAGACACUGCCUCGCCCUAGCGGCCGAACAAAAAGCUGAUCCCGAACGGGUACCCUCGCCGUAUACCGAAAGAACUCCCCCACUAGGGUCUCGUAUAGUCACCAACUGACGCUCACAGUCGAUGACAGCGCCGAACCGGCUCAACCAGUCCAUGCCCACGAUGACACAGACAUCCCCCAUCGCGAUAGGAAUCAGGUCAAUCGGGAAUCCAACCCCGAAAAUCUCUAGUACACAUCCCCGAAGAACCUCCGUAGCACAAAUCACCUUCUCGUCAGCUAUAGAGACUCUCAAAGGUCGACUCAACGACUCACGACUAACGCCAAUAUGCUGACUAAAGGCCAAGGACACAAAGGACCUACUCGCACCCGAGUCAAAUAACACUAAGGCAGGCACAGAGUUCACAAGGAAAGUACCUACGCGCAUAAUAACAUAAGCAUAACAUAUCGACAUUAAAAUAAUUACAUGAAUUACAACAUACCUGCCACAACAUCGGGCGCAGCGCGGACCUCUUCCGCAGUCAGCUGAAAGGCUCUUCCCCGAGCCCUCGGGGCCUCGGCCUUCACCGGUCGAGUCGCAGUAACUCCGGCAGCAGGUGCAGAUCCCUGAAGAAGCUGAGGGCACUCGGCCUUCCUAUGGCCAGUCUGGUUGCAAUGAAAGCAAACCGAAAAUCCCUUGGGGCACUCCCUAGCAAUGUGCCCCUCCUUGCCACACUUGUAGCAAGCACCAGAUCGACAUACUCCAUCAUGACUCUUGCCGCACUUCCCGCAAGUGCGACCCUUCGAACCUCCUGUCCUCGAAUCAGCGGACUUGGUCCGCUUGGCUGCCGGCUGGAACUGAGCCGGUCGCCGAUCCACCCGCUGAGACUCGGCCUCCUCCCUAGCCUGGGUCUCCAACUCGAUCUCGCGCUUCCUGGCAUUCGCCUGAAGCUCAGCAAAAGUAUGGUAAGUGGAGUUUGACACAAACUCCCGAAUAUCCCUCCUCAAGACACCCAAGUAUCGGCUCAUCCGAGCCUGCUCUGAGGACACCAGCUCAGGGCAAAACAUCGCCCUCUCAUGAAACUUCCGUGUAAUCACCGCAACAGAAUCGGUACCCUGCUUGAGGGUUAAGAACUCCUGCACCAAUCGUUCCCUCUCCACCGGGGGAACGUACUCAUCCCUGAACAUGGCAGUAAACCCCUCCCAUGUCACCGCUGUAGUCUCUGCCAAAGUGAAAUUCGCUGUCACGAACUUCCACCAGUCCUUCGCUCCCAGACGGAGCUGGUUCAAAGCGAACCGUACCCUCAGGUGCUCCGGGCAUGAACAAGUAUAGAAGCACCCCUCUAUAUCUGCGAUCCACCUCAUCGCAGCAAUCGGAUCCUGCGUCCCAUCGAACUCUGGUGGCUUCGUGUUGCUGAACUCUCGGAACAGCAAUGAAUCACCCCCCUGUGGCCUAGCAGCGGCCACAGCUGCGGUAGCUGCAGCGGUUGCAGCCUCAGUCAAUGCGGCGUACCGCUCGUCGAACGUCUCCAUCAGGGUGGUCUUGAUAGACCCAAACAUCUCCGGGAUCUCAGCCCGGAUCGCCGCCGCCACCUCCUCGUGGAUCAUCUGACGAAUAUCCUCGUCACUCACACCGCUCGUACUUGCCCCGUGCCGCGGUCUAACCAUGAUAUCUCUGAAAUACAACAUAAAACUAUCAGAGAUUCUACCGAGUAUAAUCGUACUCGACACGCAACCCUACUCAGUCCCAGAUAUCCAGGGAUUCUUACUUGGGCCUCCCACUGACCCGGUGUCCUCGGUAGUACGGGCCCAAUACUACCGACCACACCGCAUCAAUGUUCAUCCCAAGUCCUCCUCCCCAAACUCCAGAUAGUGAGUACUCUACUUCUGAUACGCUCUAUCUACCCGCAUACUAGCAAAGCAUCUCAUAUAGGCAACUUCCCUAGACUAAGGCAUCACAAAUCAGGCCACUCUAGUCCUAUCAUGAAUACCUAGUCUUCUAGCAUGCAUAACAAUUCAUAUCAUAUAAUAUUGUAAGGUAUUUUGGGGAUCUUUACCGUUCGGGCGCUGACUGAUCGUACACACUGCUUCUUUCUUGCUUACCACAAAACCAUUUACAAAAGUUUAUGCCUUUAUUUGAAAAGUUUCCUCAAAUCCUCGGUUUGAGUUCAGUUACCCCCGAAGGUGCACCCGAAUCCCUCAAACCAAGGCUCUGAUACCAAUUGUAACAACUCAAAUUUUUCAAACAAAUUUUUCAUUUUUAAAACAUAAUUAUUUCCAUUAAAAACAAGGCAUAAACAGUUUAAUUAUUCGGUCAAUACAAUUAUUCAAACUCCCAAGAUCAUAAAACAAUCUUCAGUGUGUAUCGAUCAUGCCGGCGCCUUCCCACGGUCCUCGCUAGUACCUGAAAUACAUGCACAACAACUGUAAGCAUAAAUGCUUAGUGAGUUCCCCAAUAUACACUUACGCACAUACGCCUUUCCAGGCCCUGACCUUCCGGUCCUCAUUACAACGCCUUCCGGCCCAUAACAUAAUCGCCUUCCGGCCCAUAACAUAUUGCCUUCCGGCCCACAUAUCAUACAUAGCACAUAUAACACUUAACUUACCACAUAUAGCAUACAUAUCCAUAUAACACUUAACUUACCACUUAUAGCAUACAUAUCCAUAUAACACUUAACUUACCACUUAUAGCAUAUAAACAUAAUACAUAACAUACUUGACCUUCCGGUCACACAGUCAAACCCUUCCGGGUACAGUAUAGUGAGAAGACUCACCUCGUAAGUGCUGAAAGCUAGCAACUCCUGAAAUCACUCGCGCACAAACCAACGAGCUACAACCCUCCUAUAACAUUACAUAACUCAUUAACACUCAUAUCAUCUAAGUGUGACUAUCCCUAAGAAGUCAGACUUAGGUCAACUCUGGUCAACGGUCAACGGUCAACUCGACUGGACUCGGCGAGUACCAUGGCGACUCGGCGAGUCUAGUCGUCCUCACAGAUUCCUGAAUAUUCCCUUUCUACUCGUCGAGUAUCCCUCUUGACUCGACGAGGUCCUCGUGGAAGAAUCGCGGGGCCACCCCGACUCCACUCGCCGAGUCUGAUGAACAACUCGGCGAGUCCCAGCACAUCUUCAAGCUACUCGCCGAGUCUGAAGAACAACUCGGCGAGUCCAUGCCAUGCAGACGAGUAACUGCUUCCUGAGAUAGGUCUCGUCCCGAAGUACACAUGCAUGGGACCUUCUGGACCUCUAAAGGUCCUAAUACAAGACUAUAGUCGUGGGGGUAACAAGGCAUUACAUCAUCAAAUCACUAAAUGGGUUCUAUAAACCCUAAUUUCAUAAAUACAUCAAUAUAGCAGAGCAUACACGAAUUCUUACCUGGAUGAUGUGUUCUCUGCCUUCCCAACCUCAGAAUGCGACCCCCUUGCUGCUCUUUUAGCCAAUCCUUCCUCUUCCUUGCACACCCACUCUUCUAUAACCAACAAUGGCCUAAGAUCCUUGCUCCUACUGCACUAAAUCGAUUUAGGGUUUUUCUCAGAAAGCUAAAACGAACAAAGACGGCCAAUGGACCCCUUUUAUACGUCCCAAACCUGAACGGUUAGGGUUUCUGCUGAACAGCGUCGACUCGCCGAGUCCAUAUCUGGACUCGUCGAGUCCAGUCGCGGAACCGCGACCAAGUCC
rnacentral:lncRNA from 1 species